CCUUCACGAAGUCGGAAUUGCUAGUAAUGGCAGGUCAGCAUACUGCCGUGAAUACGUUCCCGGGCCUUGUACACACCGCCCGUCACACCAUGAGAGUUAGGAAUACCCGAAGCCUGUGAGCUAACUUUUAGAGGCAGCAGUCGAAGGUAGAACUAAUGAUUGGGGUGAAGUCGUAACAAGGUACC
rnacentral:rRNA from 1 species